GAGGGUAUAGCUAAGUGAUAGGGUGCAUGCUUAGCAUGCAUGAGGUCUUGGGUUCAAUUCCCAGUACCUCUG
rnacentral:tRNA from 1 species